GACGAACGCUGGCGGCAGGCUUAACACAUGCAAGUCGCACGAGAACGUUCUGGCUUCGGCCGGGACAAGUACAGUGGCGGACGGGUGCGUAUCGCGUAGAUAACCUGCCCUCAGGCGCGGGACAAUCACGGGAAACCGUGGCUAAUACCGCACGUCGUCUGGACCCCGCAUGGGGACCAGAUGAAAGCCUUCGGGCGCCUUUGGAUGGGUCUGCGUUGGAUUAGCUUGUUGGUGAGGCAACGGCUCACCAAGGCAACGAUCCAUAGCUGGUCUGAGAGGACGAUCAGCCACACUGGGACUGAGACACGGCCCAGACUCCUACGGGAGGCAGCAGUGGGGAAUCUUGCACAAUGGGGUCACCCCUGAUGCAGCCAUGCCGCGUGGAGGAAGACACCCCUAUGGGGCGUAAACUCCUUUUCUGAAUGAAGAAACCCCUGUAGGUUCAGGGCGCGACGGUAGUUCAGGAAUAAGCACCGGCUAACUCCGUGCCAGCAGCCGCGGUAAUACGGAGGGUGCAAGCGUUGUCCGGAAUCACUGGGUGUAAAGGGUGUGCAGGCGGGGCAACAAGUCGGAUGUGAAACCCCAUGGCUCAACCAUGGAGGUGCAUUCGAAACUGUUGCUCUUGAGUCCCGGAGAGGCUGUCGGAAUUCGUGGUGUAGCGGUGAAAUGCGUAGAUAUCACGAGGAACACCAGAGGCGAAAGCGGGCAGCUGGACGGGUACUGACGCUCAGGCACGAAAGCGUGGGGGAGCAAACAGGAUUAGAUACCCUGGUAGUCCACGCCGUAAACGAUGAACGCUCGCCGUUGCCCCGUCAAGGGGCAGUGGCUAAGUUAACGCGUUAAGCGUUCCACCUGGGGAGUACGAUCGCAAGGUUGAAACUCAAAGGAAUUGACGGGGGCCCGCACAAGCGGUGGAGCAUGUGGCUCAAUUCGAUGCAACGCGAAGAACCUUACCUAGGCUCGAACGCUAAAGGACCGCUCCUGAAAGGGAGCUUCCCCUUUGGGGCCUUUAGCGAGGUACUGCAUGGCUGUCGUCAGCUCGUGUCGUGAGAUGUUGGGUUAAGUCCCGCAACGAGCGUAACCCUUGUCGCUAGUUACCAGCGGGUAAUGCCGGGGACUCUAGUGAGACCGCCUGCGCAAGCAGUGAGGAAGGUGGGGAUGACGUCAAGUCAUCAUGGUCCUUACGCCUAGGGCUGCACACGUGCUACAAUGGCCGGUACAACGGGUAGCCACCUCGCGAGAGGGAGCGAAUCUCUGAAAGCCGGUCCCAGUUCGGAUUGGAGUCUGCAACUCGACUCCAUGAAGCAGGAAUCGCUAGUAAUCGCGGAUCAGCAAUGCCGCGGUGAAUCCGUUCCCGGGCCUUGUACACACCGCCCGUCAAGCCAUGGAAGCUGAGAGCACCCGAAGUCCGUGACUCAACUCUAGCAUUAGCUAGAGAGAGAGCGGCCGAAGGUGAGCUCAGUGACUGGGGCU
rnacentral:rRNA from 1 species